rnacentral:misc_RNA from 1 species
AAGAAUAAAAGAUAAAAUCCGCGCGUCUCGCAUUAGUAAUCCGAAAUGUAAUCCUUUUCGCCUUGCUAUCUCCACAUAGUCGUAUCUCAAGACUUUCCCCUCAUUCCGAAGGUGAAUUCAAUUCAUCUCGUUAAACGGUCACAAUUGCAUUAUUCAUUAUCGGUGUCUCGUCAAGCUUUGCUGCAGACGGAGGGGAUAGUAUGUGCCACGGAGAACAAGCGUUGCUUUACAGCAAACCAUUUAGGGAUUUAUUACAGACAGAUAGCAGAUAGUAUCGCAGCAGAACAAUAUAUUUAAGAGGAAAUCAAGCGUGAUUUUAGACGAACAGUCUAAUAUACUUGAACGAAGACUUUACACGUGCAACAAAUUUUCGAAAUUUUCUAGGUCGAGGUUGUGCCGUGUUUCUUGCAAAAAUGCCAGAAAAUGAGAUACCGAUAUCCGAAUUGAAAAAUUUAACAGCCAUUCCGAUGGCGGAGGAAACAACAAAUGAUAGAAAUAGAAAUUCUGAGCUUACUUACGGCAUCGAUGAUGCUCCGCCGUGGUAUCUGUGUUUAUUCAUGGCAUUACAGCAUUACUUAACUAUGAUUGGUGCCAUUGUUUCCAUUCCAUUCAUUCUAACACCAGCAUUAUGUAUGGCCGAAGAUGAUCCCGCGAGGAGUCACAUUAUUUCUACGAUGAUUUUUGUCACUGGUUUAGUAACGUUCAUUCAAACUACCAUAGGAUGUAGAUUGCCAUUGGUGCAGGGCGGUACCAUAUCAUUCUUGGUACCAACUCUGGCGAUACUGAAUCUGCCGCAAUGGCAAUGUCCCGCACCGGAAGUUCUUGAGCAAAUGUCCCACGAAAACCGAACCGAGCUCUGGCAAAUUCGAAUGAGAGAACUGUCGGGUGCCAUCACUGUUUCUGCCUUAUUUCAAGUGAUCAUCGGGUUUGGAGGUAUCGUGGGAUAUUUGUUGAAAUUUAUAACUCCCCUAACAAUCGUGCCGACAGUUUCACUAGUUGGGCUAUCGCUCUUUGAAAACGCUGCGGAUGCAGCAUCUCAGCACUGGGGUAUCGCAGUUGGAACGGUAAUACUAUUAACGACAUGCUCUCAAGUAAUGGUCAACGUUCCAUUUCCGUUCAUAACAUAUCGCAAAGGUCAAGGAUUCCAAAUUAUCUGGUUCGAAUUGUUCAAACUUUUUCCGGUUUUGCUGACGAUAAUCGUCAUGUGGAUAAUCUGCACUAUACUAACGAUAACCGACACGCUACCGUUCGGUCAUCCCGCCAGGGCGGACACCAAAUUGAAAAUUAUAAACGAUUCACCCUGGUUUCGGGUACCGUAUCCCGGACAGUGGGGCGUACCUACGGUAACAUUGUCAGGCGUCCUCGGUAUGCUAGCGGGAGUAAUGGCGUGCACGGUCGAGUCCAUCAGUUACUAUCCAACCACCGCGAGAAUGUGUGGAGCACCGCCGCCACCGGUCCACGCGAUCAAUCGUGGUAUCGGCAUAGAGGGUCUGGGUACGAUGCUGGCUGGACUUUGGGGUAGCGGCAAUGGCACAAACACGUUCGGCGAGAAUGUCGGCACGAUAGGGGUCACCAAGAUCGGUAGCCGCAGAGUCAUACAGUGGGCCUGCUUUUUGAUGAUCCUGCAAGGCGUGAUCAGCAAAUUCGGUGCGGUAUUCAUCAUAAUUCCCGAGCCGAUAGUCGGCGGAAUAUUCUGCGUGAUGUUCGGCAUGAUUUGUGCUUUCGGCUUGGCGGUUUUGCAAUAUGUAAAUCUUAAUUCCGCAAGGAACUUGUUCAUCCUAGGCUUGUCCAUGUUCUUCCCUCUGGUGAUCUAUUUCAGGUCCUGUCGAAGUGGCUGAUCAAACAUCCGGAUACGAUACACACGGGAAACACUGUGGCGGAUAGCGUAUUUACUGUACUGCUCAGUACUACUAUUCUAGUAGGUGGUGUGUUGGGCUGUUUUCUGGAUAAUAUCAUCCCAGGAAAUGCAAAGGAUCGUGGAUUGGAGGCUUGGGCGAAAGAAAUGGAACUAAACGGUGGCGCGGCUGAAAAACAAACUGACGAAGCUUCCGGUACUGCAGAGUACGUCCGAAAUACUUUUGAUUUCCCGUUCGGGAUGAAUCU